rnacentral:rRNA from 1 species
UACGUUGGGUGCGAGCGUUGUCCGGAUUUAUUGGGCGUAAAGAGCUCGUAGGCGGUUUGUCGCGUCGGCCGUGAAAUCUCCACGCUUAACGUGGAGCGUGCGGUCGAUACGGGCAGACUUGAGUUCGGUAGGGGAGACUGGAAUUCCUGGUGUAGCGGUGAAAUGCGCAGAUAUCAGGAGGAACACCGGUGGCGAAGGCGGGUCUCUGGGCCGAUACUGACGCUGAGGAGCGAAAGCGUGGGGAGCGAACAGG